CGCCUAUUGUACAUAUAAUAGGUCCAUCCUGCCCAGUGAAUAUGAUUUCAACGGCCGCGGUAUCCUGACCGUGCAAAGGUAGCAUAAUCAUUUGCCUUUUAAUUGAAGGCUAGUAUGAAAGGACUCACAUGAAUAAAGCUGUCUCAACAGGAUUAACUUUAAACUGAUUUUUAGGUGAAGACGCCUGAAUAUUAAUAAAGGACAAGAAGACCCUAUAGAGCUUUAUUGAAAAUAGCAUAAAACUUUUUAUCAAUUUGGUUGGGACAACCAAAAGACAUUUAAACCUCUUUUUACAUAAUUAAUUACCCCUACCCUUCAUUGAAUUAGAAUUCAAGCUACCUUAGGGAUAACAGGCUAAUCCCGCUAGAGAGACCACAUUGACAGCGGGGAUUGGCACCUCGAUGUUGGCUUAGUGUAACCAUUAGGCGCAGCCGCUUAAUAGAGUUGGUUUGUUCAACCAUUAAAUCACUACAUGAG
rnacentral:rRNA from 1 species